GGCGAGCUCAAGGGAGACAGUGUGACCUUGGCCAACAUCCCUCUUCGCCCUGCCUCAUCAGGCAUUACUGGAGUCUUUGGAGUUUCCUCCCUAGCGUUGGUCGAUGAGCAACUUUGCCAAGUACUGGGCCAACCUGAUUGCGAAGGUCGAUGGGACUGGUGGUGCUUUUUGUGAUUUCGCUUGCCUCUAGGAUAUCCUUUGCCAAGAAGUUGAGAGGCACAACAAACCAGAGGUGGAGCUUAAGAAAAAUUUAGCCUUAUAGAUGCAUGACGGCAGUGGCGACUUGGUGCCAAACUUUGGGCCAUCGCAAAAGGUGGCACGUCGAAGAGAUCUAUGCUGGUGAUGGUGGACCCGGAGUGAUCUUGGGCGAGAAGACUGAGCGAUGGAGCCUGGUCCAUGGGAAAUCAACAGGUCAGUACUCAAAAUCUUCCUGAAAUGCAAGGCCUUGCUCCUCUGUAGGCCAGUACUCCAGAUCUUCCUGAAGGAGGACGGUGUGGUGAACCCCAAGACCAUCUUCAUCAUCGGCAGCACCGAGUACUAGAAGCUGGUUGUCUUGGAUUAGAUUCAUCAGGUUAGUUAGUUUUGUCGUGGUGUUUGAUUAGCUUCUUGUUUUCAGAAUCGUGGUGAAUAGAUAGCUCUGCUUUUGUUUGAUUUUAGUUGUGGAACAUGUUGCUUUCAUGCUUUGGUAGGACGAGUUUGGUAAUCCUUGGUUUGGGGUGAUUGAUCAUCCGAUGUAGUAAUGGAUCAUCCUUGGUUUG